rnacentral:rRNA from 1 species
UACAGAGGUCUCAAGCGUUGUUCGGAUUCAUUGGGCGUAAAGGGUGCGUAGGUGGCGCCGUAAGUGGGGUGUGAAAUCUCGGGGCUUAACUCCGAAACUGCAUUCCAUACUGCGGUGCUCGAGGACUGGAGAGGAGACUGGAAUUCAUGGUGUAGCAGUGAAAUGCGUAGAGAUCAUGAGGAAGACCAGUGGCGAAGGCGGGUCUCUGGGCCGAUACUGACGCUGAGGAGCGAAAGCGUGGGGAGCGAACAGG